ensembl:lncRNA
AAGUUUCUCAAGUAAAUUUUCAAGAUUUGUAAUGCCAACUGUUUUUUUCUCAUUGAAGAAUUUUUGAUCAUUCCUUUGCAGAUCUACGGCUAUGAGGUCCUAAUGUGCAAACAUCAAUCCAUUAAGACAUUACAAUGUCUAGAUUUCUUCUCCUCCUCCUCCCAUAGCUAAGAAGCUGAAAACUAUGCUUCAGGCCAACUCUCCUUCUGUUUUUCCUUGGAUAAAGAAGAACACACAAAAAUUUUGCAUCAGCUAGAGAUGGCAAGCUAAAUAUUUAGGAAGCUGGUUAAUUUUCUCAGUGGAAAGUUCAACAUCCAACUGCAUCAUGGCAAGCCCCACUAUUCAAUACAAGCUGGAGGAUGAAAGGAUUGAGCACAGCCCUGACAAAAAAGACUUGGAGGUACUGGUGGAUGGCAAACUGGACAUGAGUCAGCAGUGUGCUCUCACAGUCCAGAAAGUCAACCAUAUCCUGGACUGCGACAAAAGAAAUGUGGCUAGCAGGUCAAGGGAGGUGAUUCUGCCCCUCUACUCUGUGUUCGUGAGGCUUCACCUGGAGUACUGAGUCCAGAUAAGGAGUCCUCAGUAUAGGAGAGACAUGGACCUGUCAGAGCGUGUCCAGAAGAGGUCCACAAAAAUGAUCCAAGGGAUGGAACACUUCCCCUGUGAGGACCAGUUCAAUCUAGAGAAGAGAAGGCUGUGAGGUGACUUGAUAACAGCCUUUAAGUAUCUGAAGGGGAUAGGAAAGAAGGGGACAGACACUUUAGUAGGGUCUGUGGUGACAGGACAAUAGGAAAUGGUUUCAAACUAAAAAGGGGAAGAUUUAGAUUGGAUACAAGGAAAAAUAUUUUUAUAAUAAGAGUGGUGAGGCACUUGAACUAGUUGCCCAGAGACAUGAUGGAUAACCCUUCCCUGGAGACAUUCAAGGUCAGGCUGAAUCAGGCUCUGAGCAACCUGAUCUAGCUGUAAGUGCCUCUGUUCAUUGCAGGGGAGUUGGACUAGAUGAUCUUUAACCUUUAGAUGUCCCUUCCAACUCAAGUGAUUCUAUGGUUCAAUGUACUGCAAUUUAUCUCCCUUGGGACCACAGAACAAACCCAUUUAUCCACUUAAGGUGAUUAGACGAUGUAAUUAAACUUAGAGAUUUAUAACUUCCCUUCUUGGAAAGCAGAUUAAAACUGGAAGCAUAUCUCUCUGAUGAUUAAAAAAUCUAGCCUGAAAUAUAAAAACUAGGCAUCUGUUAAAUGUGAUGGUUUCAUAGCAAAAAUAAAAGAUGCCUAUAUGUUGUCAUAUUCCACUGUAUUUUAACAAGAUGAAAUGUAAAAAUAUUGACCAAUUUUCACAAUAAAAGAAACAUUUUAAAAAUAGCUUUGGC